rnacentral:rRNA from 1 species
CUUAACACAUGCAAGUCGAGCGCCCCGCAAGGGGAGCGCAGACGGGUGAGUAACACGUGGGAACGUACCCUUUUCUACGGAAUAACCCAGGGAAACUUGGACUAAUACCGUAUGUGCCCUUCGGGGGAAAGAUUUAUCGGAAAAGGAUCGGCCCGCGUUGGAUUAGCUAGUUGGUGGGGUAAAGGCCUACCAAGGCGACGAUCCAUAGCUGGUCUGAGAGGAUGAUCAGCCACAUUGGGACUGAGACACGGCCCAAACUCCUACGGGAGGCAGCAGUGGGGAAUAUUGGACAAUGGGCGCAAGCCUGAUCCAGCCAUGCCGCGUGAGUGAUGAAGGCCUUAGGGUUGUAAAGCUCUUUCACCGGAGAAGAUAAUGACGGUAUCCGGAGAAGAAGCCCCG